rnacentral:rRNA from 1 species
UGGGGAAUAUUGCACAAUGGGCGCAAGCCUGAUGCAGCCAUGCCGCGUGUAUGAAGAAGGCCUUCGGGUUGUAAAGUACUUUCAGCGAGGAGGAAGGCGUUGUGGUUAAUAACCGCAACGAUUGACGUUACUCGCAGAAGAAGCACCGGCUAACUCCGUGCCAGCAGCCGCGGUAAUACGGCGGGUGCAAGCGUUAAUCGGAAUUACUGGGCGUAAAGCGCACGCAGGCGGUCUGUCAAGUCGGAUGUGAAAUCCCCGGGCUCAACCUGGGAACUGCAUCCGAAACUGGCAGGCUAGAGUCUUGUAGAGGGGGGUAGAAUUCCAGGUGUAGCGGUGAAAUGCGUAGAGAUCUGGAGGAAUACCGGUGGCGAAGGCGGCCCCCUGGACAAAGACUGACGCUCAGGUGCGAAAGCGUGGGGAGCAAACA